UUUAAGUUUUUAUGCAAACUAUAUAUUUAUUUUAAUAUUUUAUAAUUAUUUAUAUUAUGCAGUCUCUUUUGUGAUUGGUUGAACUUUUUAAAAGUAAAUAUUCUUAAUCUUCGUACUUUUAGGUAAAACAACUUAUAUUGUGAAACGGAGGGAGUAUAUCAUUUACAAUUUCUCUUUAUUUAGUUUUGUGGUGAUUCCGAAUAUU
rnacentral:sRNA from 1 species